UACGGGGGGAGCAAGCGUUGUUCGGAUUUACUGGGCGUAAAGGGCGCGUAGGCGGUUCGUUAAGUCCUGUGUGAAAUCCCCCGGCUCAACUGGGGAACUGCACAGGAAACUAGCGGGCUUGAGUUCGGGAGAGGGAAGCGGAAUUCCGGGUGUAGCGGUGAAAUGCGUAGAUAUCCGGAGGAACACCGGUGGCGAAGGCGGCUUCCUGGACCGACACUGACGCUGAGGCGCGAAAGCUAGGGGAGCAAACGGG
rnacentral:rRNA from 1 species